rnacentral:rRNA from 1 species
AGCAGUCGCCGCGGGAAUACAGAGGGUGCGAGCGUUAAUCGGAUUUACUGGGCGUAAAGCGUGCGUAGGCGGCUAAUUGAGUCGGAUGUGAAAUCCCCGAGCUUAACUUGGGAAUUGCAUUCGAUACUGGUUAGCUAGAGUGUGGGAGAGGAUGGUAGAAUUCCAGGUGUAGCGGUGAAAUGCGUAGAGAUCUGGAGGAAUACCGAUGGCGAAGGCAGCCAUCUGGCCUAACACUGACGCUGAGGUACGAAAGCAUGGGGAGCAAACAGGAUUAGAUACCCCCGUAGUCCCUGUCUCUUAUAA